UAAGCGACUAAGCGUACACGGUGGAUGCCCUGGCAGUCAGAGGCGAUGAAGGACGUGCUAAUCUGCGAUAAGCGUCGGUGAGGUGAUAUGAACCGUUAUAACCGGCGAUUUCCGAAUGGGGAAACCCAGUGUGUUUCGACACACUAUCAUUAACUGAAUCCAUAGGUUAAUGAGGCGAACCGGGGGAACUGAAACAUCUAAGUACCCCGAGGAAAAGAAAUCAACCGAGAUUCCCCCAGUAGCGGCGAGCGAACGGGGAGGAGCCCAGAGCCUGAAUCAGUGUGUGUGUUAGUGGAAGCGUCUGGAAAGGCGUGCGAUACAGGGUGACAGCCCCGUACACAAAAAUGCACAUAUUGUGAGCUCGAUGAGUAGGGCGGGACACGUGGUAUCCUGUCUGAAUAUGGGGGGACCAUCCUCCAAGGCUAAAUACUCCUGACUGACCGAUAGUGAACCAGUACCGUGAGGGAAAGGCGAAAAGAACCCCGGCGAGGGGAGUGAAAAAGAACCUGAAACCGUGUACGUACAAGCAGUGGGAGCCUCUUAAUGGGGUGACUGCGUACCUUUUGUAUAAUGGGUCAGCGACUUAUAUUCUGUAGCAAGGUUAACCGAAUAGGGGAGCCGAAGGGAAACCGAGUCUUAACUGGGCGUUAAGUUGCAGGGUAUAGACCCGAAACCCGGUGAUCUAGCCAUGGGCAGGUUGAAGGUUGGGUAACACUAACUGGAGGACCGAACCGACUAAUGUUGAAAAAUUAGCGGAUGACUUGUGGCUGGGGGUGAAAGGCCAAUCAAACCGGGAGAUAGCUGGUUCUCCCCGAAAGCUAUUUAGGUAGCGCCUCGUGAAUUCAUCUCCGGGGGUAGAGCACUGUUUCGGCAAGGGGGUCAUCCCGACUUACCAACCCGAUGCAAACUGCGAAUACCGGAGAAUGUUAUCACGGGAGACACACGGCGGGUGCUAACGUCCGUCGUGAAGAGGGAAACAACCCAGACCGCCAGCUAAGGUCCCAAAGUCAUGGUUAAGUGGGAAACGAUGUGGGAAGGCCCAGACAGCCAGGAUGUUGGCUUAGAAGCAGCCAUCAUUUAAAGAAAGCGUAAUAGCUCACUGGUCGAGUCGGCCUGCGCGGAAGAUGUAACGGGGCUAAACCAUGCACCGAAGCUGCGGCAGCGACACUAUGUGUUGUUGGGUAGGGGAGCGUUCUGUAAGCCUGUGAAGGUGGCCUGUGAGGGUUGCUGGAGGUAUCAGAAGUGCGAAUGCUGACAUAAGUAACGAUAAAGCGGGUGAAAAGCCCGCUCGCCGGAAGACCAAGGGUUCCUGUCCAACGUUAAUCGGGGCAGGGUGAGUCGACCCCUAAGGCGAGGCCGAAAGGCGUAGUCGAUGGGAAACAGGUUAAUAUUCCUGUACUUGGUGUUACUGCGAAGGGGGGACGGAGAAGGCUAUGUUGGCCGGGCGACGGUUGUCCCGGUUUAAGCGUGUAGGCUGGUUUUCCAGGCAAAUCCGGAAAACCAAGGCUGAGGCGUGAUGACGAGGCACUACGGUGCUGAAGUGACAAAUGCCCUGCUUCCAGGAAAAGCCUCUAAGCAUCAGGUAACAUCAAAUCGUACCCCAAACCGACACAGGUGGUCAGGUAGAGAAUACCAAGGCGCUUGAGAGAACUCGGGUGAAGGAACUAGGCAAAAUGGUGCCGUAACUUCGGGAGAAGGCACGCUGAUAUGUAGGUGAAGCGACUUGCUCGUGGAGCUGAAAUCAGUCGAAGAUACCAGCUGGCUGCAACUGUUUAUUAAAAACACAGCACUGUGCAAACACGAAAGUGGACGUAUACGGUGUGACGCCUGCCCGGUGCCGGAAGGUUAAUUGAUGGGGUUAGCGGUAACGCGAAGCUCUUGAUCGAAGCCCCGGUAAACGGCGGCCGUAACUAUAACGGUCCUAAGGUAGCGAAAUUCCUUGUCGGGUAAGUUCCGACCUGCACGAAUGGCGUAAUGAUGGCCAGGCUGUCUCCACCCGAGACUCAGUGAAAUUGAACUCGCUGUGAAGAUGCAGUGUACCCGCGGCAAGACGGAAAGACCCCGUGAACCUUUACUAUAGCUUGACACUGAACAUUGAGCCUUGAUGUGUAGGAUAGGUGGGAGGCUUUGAAGUGUGGACGCCAGUCUGCAUGGAGCCGACCUUGAAAUACCACCCUUUAAUGUUUGAUGUUCUAACGUUGGCCCGUAAUCCGGGUUGCGGACAGUGUCUGGUGGGUAGUUUGACUGGGGCGGUCUCCUCCUAAAGAGUAACGGAGGAGCACGAAGGUUGGCUAAUCCUGGUCGGACAUCAGGAGGUUAGUGCAAUGGCAUAAGCCAGCUUGACUGCGAGCGUGACGGCGCGAGCAGGUGCGAAAGCAGGUCAUAGUGAUCCGGUGGUUCUGAAUGGAAGGGCCAUCGCUCAACGGAUAAAAGGUACUCCGGGGAUAACAGGCUGAUACCGCCCAAGAGUUCAUAUCGACGGCGGUGUUUGGCACCUCGAUGUCGGCUCAUCACAUCCUGGGGCUGAAGUAGGUCCCAAGGGUAUGGCUGUUCGCCAUUUAAAGUGGUACGCGAGCUGGGUUUAGAACGUCGUGAGACAGUUCGGUCCCUAUCUGCCGUGGGCGCUGGAGAACUGAGGGGGGCUGCUCCUAGUACGAGAGGACCGGAGUGGACGCAUCACUGGUGUUCGGGUUGUCAUGCCAAUGGCACUGCCCGGUAGCUAAAUGCGGAAGAGAUAAGUGCUGAAAGCAUCUAAGCACGAAACUUGCCCCGAGAUGAGUUCUCCCUGACUCCUUGAGGGUCCUGAAGGAACGUUGAAGACGACGACGUUGAUAGGCCGGGUGUGUAAGCGCAGCGAUGCGUUGAGCUAACCGGUACUAAUGAACCGUGAGGCUUAACCU
rnacentral:rRNA from 3 species